rnacentral:lncRNA from 1 species
GACGAAGUACAACCGGAGGAAGAACCGACAAGCCGGCCUCUCCUCUAAUCCUCCUUUGCUCUCCAUCUCACUACUAUCUAGAUCUACUCUAGUUUAGAGAAGAGAGGAGAGCUCUCAUCUCCAAACCCUAACUUUUGCUCUGUCUAUGAAUAAUGAUCAAGGGGUUCCUCCUCCAGGGGCCAGGGGGUCUGGUUAUAUGGUCCCCUCAAGUGAACCUGGGCCGUUGGAUCAAACCGACAUUGAUUGAACGGUUAUUCUUGAUCCUUUAGGUCGGUGGAGAUCUCCCGAGAGAAAGAGUCCUGAUUGGACUCCAAGUCAGGGGGGGCGCCCAGGGCAGGAGGGCGGGCGCCCUGCCUCUGGCCCCGUUCGGCCUCCGCUUCCUUCCCGUGGCUUCUGGAGUCUUCUAGAUGUAAGAUAAUUGCGUGGCACGUUAAUAUCUCUAUGUAAUCCCGACGUGUGGGCCUUUCUUCCCUAUUUCCUCAUAACCCCCUGCAGAAAUAGACAAACACCAAAACUCAUGGAAUUCUGUCACAUAAAACCCUAAGUCUAGAUGUUGAUUUCAUUUGGAUCCUUUUCUUUGUUUAUUUCAUAAUUAAAUUUGAUACUUAAGGACCGUCAACAAACUCCCUCAAGCUUACCUCUUGCUUGUCCCUGAGCAAGGAUAGACUCAGAAAUGGAUCAGAAGUUGUUGCAAUAUCUUAAAAAUUUGACGGUACACAUGCUUUUAAAUAACAUCUUAUCUCUGAGUUAGAGUAAACUGUCAAGAACUAAAACUUACUUACUUUACCUUUCACCAUGGGACUUGUAACCGUCACUUCUGUCUUGAGUAGUUAAAAGAUAGAACAGUCUAGCCAAGUGCCAUGUCUCUUAUUCUUGAUCAGCUAUAGCUCUGGAGUUUUUGCAGAUUUUCAAAUAAAACUCAGAGAUUCCUUGUAUGACUCUCUAAAUCUCUCUUUUGUGGUAUUUUUGGAUCCUUACCAAGGCAGUGAUGGUAUAUGCCUUCUCUCAAGAUAUGUGGUAUUUGUGGUAUAAGGCAUAGUGACAUUGCCUUCUCUCUCACCCUACUCUAAUAAGGCUUUAAUAUCUGGAGCUCAUAGGUGGGAGAUAAAGUAUACAUACUUACAAGACAUUUAUUGUAUAGUCAAACCAUGGAUCCAAAGAACAAAUCAAUAAGCCAAAUCAAGAUGUGCAUGUGUGGCGAAUGAAUGGUGUAUGGUGAUGAUGGUGAUAACAAUGGUGAAAGUCUAAUUCUACUUUUGCUCUUUUGAGGGGAUACAUACCUUCCUUGCUUUUUGAAACUUUAUGAGGAGAAUGAGAUGCUCUUCUUUUUCUUUCCUCUCAGGUGGGUAUCUUGUACCCCUAAUUCUACUGUCGGACACUUGUCCAUUUUUACCUCUCGUCUCACUUUUUUUUUCUUUCGAGGUUCCGGGCACUUGCCCCUUUUUAUUUCCUCGUUUAUUUUAUUUUUUUUUCUUUUCUUCUCUUUUCUCUUUUUUUUCCUUUCAGAGCACUCAUCUCUUGAGAUAAUAUAGCAAGUGGUAGUAGCAAGAUAACUUGAGCAUUUAUUUCACAAGGGAAAACAAAAAUAUUUUUGGCUAUUCUCUCCCGGAUUAGGAGUAGAAUAUUUUUGGGUGGUUCUAGAGAUGGACAUGGAUGGAUAUAUGUGGUUGGUACUUACAGAGUAGAAGUAGCAUAUAUGAGUGAACGUGCAAGUAAAUCUUGAUUUAACCACAUGACAAGCUCCUAAGGGUCUACACAGCUUGACCACACUCAAUGCUCAUAAGCAGUAAAUAAUAAAUGUGUGGCUCAAAGUCUAGCAAGCAUGUAUAUAUGGCUGUGGUAGGAACUCUUAUCAUACAGGAACUCAUCAUGCAAUAUUUUAAAGAUUUUUCAAAGAUAAAAUUCUCCAGAAUUCUAGCAUCUCUAGGAACAGAUAAACAGCAGCUCAACCUUCCCAUAUCAUAUCCGUUAACAACUUAGAUUUUAGAUCAAGUUUUCAUCCCACAAGUUUAGAUCUAGAGCAAGCUUUAAAUUAUAACCGUUAUGUCUAAACUUGAGAGAGAACUUCAAAUUUGCAAAUUAGGCAGAGCAACUAUUCAUCAUAUCCAUGCUAGAGUUUUAUUAUUAAGAUUCAGAUUAGCAUAGCCACUUUAUUUAUUUAUUAAACACACUAAGCAAAAGAUAUAAAUAUAAGCACAAAAUCUUUAUUUGGUUUUUCAUAGUUUAUGUAUUUUAAUAUUCUAAUAUAAUAUAAGUAUAAAGAUAGGUAGAAAUACUUAGCGAGAUAAAUGGGGAUGCUCUCCCCCAAGCUGAAUUUUGACGUAAUUUCUCUUGAUGUAGCUAGCAGGUGGCAGAGGUGUAUUUGAAAGUCAGCAGCAUUCUGACAGCGAUUAGAAUGUCCUCCGUCUGCUAGUCUUCUUGAUUCUUAAAUUCUGUGGAGCUCAAAUAGACAACAAAGCUUGUGGAACUAAUUAAGUGUUAGCAUAAAUAUCUAGCCUUCAUCAUGUUGAGCUUCCUCAAUAAAUAUUACUCCCUGUUUUUAUAUUUUUAUUUUAUAAAGCAGAAAAGAAAUAUUUAUUUUAUUUUUAUGCCACCACAGUGAAGGUACUUAUGGGUUUUAGGCCACUCGUAUACUCACAUGGGGCUUAGUAUUUUUUUAACAUUUUUAUUUUCUUUUCAAGAUAGCAUGAUUAACUAAUAAUCUAAUUAAGGAAAGUAAAUAAUUAAAGGGAAAAGAGAAUGCAGAAGGGAUAAAUAUGGAUAACUACCGAUCUUACCUUUCGGCGAGGGUUCAAUGUUUUAAGUCUUCUUAACAAGACUUCUCACCGUGUUCAUCCUUCAGGUGCGUCAUUUGAUUCAGGUGCGGACCUUGACGUCUGCACCUCUUCGUUUGCCCAGCAGUUCGAAGUGCGGCGUUGGCAGUAUCCUGCUCAGUGUGUUUGUGCUCGUAGAUCCAGGUCCUUCACUUGGUAGAGUCUGAGAGUUAUAAAACUCCUCCGUGUUUUGCUCGAAGUGUACCUGCUCAUAGAGACAAGGCAGAGAUCAAGUGCACGGGUCCUGUUGGUGGAAAACACCAACAGAACCUAAAGUGUAUUUGUUCUUCUCUAACCCUAAGCAUAGUGAGCAAGACAAAGUUGAUGGAUGAAAAGUUCAUGAGUGUAGCACUUAUAACAUUUGUCAGAUCAGAUCGCUCAACCUUAUGGAAAGAUAAUCUAUCUAUGUAUAUGUCAUUUUCUUUAUAUCUCUCAAUGAUUGAAUGUGUAACAUUUUAGCUCAUAUGAUUAGGAGUGUGAGAUCAUGGAGGUAGUACUAAUAAUAAGGAUUAAAGGACUAAACAUGUUGAAUCAGUUGGGUUGGUUAAUCUAGAGUUGUAACAAAUACAUGUUUGUCUCUUUUAUUUAUAUGAACGCCAGAACCAAGGAGAAGCUUAUAAAAGUGAUAGUCAAGUACCUUAAGAUGUUACCUUGCUUGAAGAGUGAUGGUGUAGUAUCACCUUGUGGAAGCCUUCCUUUCUUAGUGGUUGUGCAUCGUGUUUGUGGCACCCUCCAUGGAUCAUCUCUCUAUGAUGAAUGAGCUAUGUCCUUCUUGUGCAAAUUGUUAAACUUCAUGUGUCACUCUCUUCGUCUCUGAUGUGAGUUUAUCUCAGGACAUCCCAAAUCGAUAUUGAAAGUUUUUCUGCAGGGGUUAGUCCGACAAAAAUAUACCAAUGUCUACACAAGCAGUUUUUAGUUCAAUAACCGAACUAGACUCCAUGUCUAAUCAGAUUAAGGAAGGCUGUUUAACCUAAGCACCAUGCUUAAUUUAAAACCAAUAGAAGUAUGUGCAGUACUUCCAAACUAACACUUACUAGUAAAUAGACAAAGGUAACAUGACAGCAUUUAUAGAGAUCUACUCAAGUGGAGAUGAAGUAGUGUGAUUAGUAUUUAACAAAUUGAGCAUGUCUUAAAGGUAGGGACAACCAACAUAGC